rnacentral:rRNA from 1 species
AGCAGUCGCCGCGGUAAUACGGAGGGUGCAAGCGUUAAUCGGAAUUACUGGGCGUAAAGCGCACGCAGGCGGUCUGACAAGUCAGAUGUGAAAUCCCCGGGCUUAACCUGGGAACUGCAUUUGAAACUGUCAGGCUGGAGUCUUGUAGAGGGGGGUGGAAUUCCAGGUGUAGCGGUGAAAUGCGUAGAGAUCUGGAGGAAUACCGGUGGCGAAGGCGGCCCCCUGGACAAAGACUGACGCUCAGGUGCGAAAGCGUGGGGAGCAAACAGGAUUAGAUACCCGGGUAGUCCCUGUCUCUUAUAA